GAGAAAACGGUCUUUUCUAUCCACGAACCCAAAGGGUGGCAGGCCAGCAUAUUUGUUGCUGAUAUUUUCAUCACCGAUCCAACAAAAUGAUCAUCUACAAGGACAUUGUCACUGGUGAUGAAAUGUUCAGCGACAUUUACAAAGUCAAAGAAUCUUCAAAUGGGAUUCUCUUCGAAGUUGAAGGAAAGAUGGUCAGCCGGACAGAUGAACUUGAUGAAUCCCUCUUUGGGUCCAAUGCCUCGGCUGAGGAGCAGACUGAAGCCUGUGAGGGUGCCACAGUCAGCGGUGUGGACAUAGUGCUCAACCAUAAACUGCAAGAGACUGCCUUCACGAAGCAGUCGUACAAGACCUACAUUAAGGAAUACAUGAAGCUGAUCAAGACGACUCUUGAAGAAAAAAACCCAGAGAGAGUGCAGCCCUUUGUGAAAGGAGCCCCGGACGAGAUCAAAAACAUCAUAGCAAACUUUGCCAAUUACCAGAGAGGAAGAGAAGGCGGACUAGAAAUGCACAACCUCGCCUAUUGAGCAGAAUAUUUCUUUCUUCACAGGGGAAUCCAUGAACCCAGAAGGCAUGAUCGGCUUGCUUGACUACCGUCCUGAUGGCACCACCCCUUACAUGAUCUUUUUCAAGGAUGGUCUGGAGGUGGAGAAAUGUUAAUGACCUGGAACCACAUCUGCUGUUUGAUUGUCUGCUGCUUCUGAAUGGACCCAAAAGCCCAACUGGAAACCCAAAUGAUCCUUCUGCAUCCCAAGAAUGGAGACAUUCUUUUACAGUCCAUCAUGUAUUUGCAUAUUGUGGCCCUCAUUUCCAGAGACCGGCUGAAGAUAUGUGAUGAAUUGAUGAGUUCAUUUUCACAAUUUGUUUUUGGGAUACAUUUCCUGAGGUUGGCCUAAUGUCAGGAAAGUGAAAUAUCUAAUUGCAGAAUGAGGUCCAGCACUUUUGCAUUUCUGUCAACAGUGCUCCACCUCGCUGAUUUUGAUUUUUUUUUUUUUGUCAGGACACUUAACAAUUCUUGAUUAGGUUGGCUGUUUCAGACCUCCUUUUGCUUGCAAUGUAUAUCAGUUGAAAUUGUGACAAUAAAAUCUGGUUACAACA